rnacentral:rRNA from 1 species
UACGUAGGGUGCGAGCGUUAAUCGGAAUUACUGGGCAUAAAGCGUGCGCAGGCGGUCUGUUAAGACCGAUGUGAAAUCCCCGGGCUUAACCUGGGAACUGCAUUGGUGACUGGCAGGCUUUGAGUGUGGCAGAGGGAGGUAGAAUUCCACGUGUAGCAGUGAAAUGCGUAGAGAUGUGGAGGAAUACCGAUGGCGAAGGCAGCCUCCUGGGCCAACACUGACGCUCAUGCACGAAAGCGUGGGGAGCAAACAGG